GUUCUUAUAGUUGAAUAACAACGGUGGUUCUUCAAAUCAUUGGUCUCGGUUAGAGUCCGGGUAGGAAUU
rnacentral:tRNA from 5 species